CACGCCUUACGUUCUGACAGAGAUGAGCCGCAUCUGGAGUUUGUGCGUGAAUCUAGGCCAAUCACAGCCCUUCGUAUUCCAAUCGAACGGUUGUUUUAGAUUCACGCGCAAACUCGCGAUGCGUCUCCUCCAUCACAUCCGAUAUCUCACUCUGGCUUCUCUUUUCCCUUCCUGUUUUCCCGCCAAAUCUGGAGGUACGGAAAAUCAGAGAAUCAAUUUCCGGAAGAGAUUGAAGAAGGCGGAUUAGAAUAUGAUGUGCAAGCGUAGGCAUCGACGGCUUCGAGUUUGGUGGAACAUUGUCGUUUUCCCGCCAAAACUGGAGAUAUUUGCAAUUUCUUCGAGGAACUGAAGAAUAAUGCGCAGUGUUAGAAUUGAUGGUGUCGUCUCCGGUGGAAGACUGGCGCUGAGGAUUUUUGUUGAGAUUCGAGGUUUUGCAGUUUGAUUCUGAUUUAAGAAGAGAUCUGAUGGAUGACUCUGAGGUUCUGUUUCUUUAUCUGGUUUUCUGAAGGAAUGAGUUGAAUGAGAAAGAUUGACAGAACAUUAUACACGUCAGAAGAAACAUGAACUUCGUAAACUGGCCGGGAUAGCUAAUGUGAGGAUGAAGCAAGUGAUAAAACUCAUCAAAAUGACAGGACAUUAUCCUUCUUGUAAAUAUGAUUAAUGAAAUCUUGAAGAUUAUGGUUAUUGUGGCCUUUUAGUCUAUGCAGAAGCAAUAUGUGAUAGAUUUCUUGCUUGGCAAUUGUUUGUCCAUUUAUAUGAUGGUCACGAGAAGCCACCGAAUUUGCAGAAGCCUUUCUUUUCUAUUUUGUCCUUGCCUCGAGAGGAUGGAAUGUUGAGGAAAUUUUCUUGGGUCUAUCUCUUGUUGGGGGUUCCUUCUUCAUUUUCUGGAUUUUGUUUGUCCAUUUGUGGUGACUGGAAAUCUUCAAUCGCCUAGGCUAUAGGAAUAGCUCCAUAUCA